AUUGAACGCUGGCGGCAGGCCUAACACAUGCAAGUCGAGCGGAUGAGAGGAGCUUGCUCCUUGAUUCAGCGGCGGACGGGUGAGUAAUGCCUAGGAAUCUGCCUGGUAGUGGGGGACAACAGUUGGAAACGACUGCUAAUACCGCAUACGUCCUACGGGAGAAAGCAGGGGACCUUCGGGCCUUGCGCUAUCAGAUGAGCCUAGGUCGGAUUAGCUAGUUGGUGAGGUAAAGGCUCACCAAGGCGACGAUCCGUAACUGGUCUGAGAGGAUGAUCAGUCACACUGGACCUGGGACACGGUCCAGACUCCUACGGGAGGCAGCAGUGGGGAAUAUUGGACAAUGGGCGAAAGCCUGAUCCAGCCAUGCCGCGUGUGUGAAGAAGGUCUUCGGAUUGUAAAGCACUUUAAGUUGGGAGGAAGGGCAGUAAGUUAAUACCUUGCUGUCUUGACGUUACCGACAGAAUAAGCACCGGCUAACUUCGUGCCAGCAGCCGCCGUAACAC
rnacentral:rRNA from 1 species